rnacentral:rRNA from 1 species
AGCGAACGCUGGCGGCAGGCCUAACACAUGCAAGUCGAACGAACUCUUCGGAGUUAGUGGCGGACGGGUGUGUAACACGUGGGAACGUGCCUUUUGGUUCGGAAUAACUCAGGGAAACUUGUGCUAAUACCGAAUGUGCCCUUCGGGGGAAAGAUUUAUCGCCAUUAGAGCGGCCCGCGUCUGAUUAGCUAGUUGGUGAGGUAACGGCUCACCAAGGCGACGAUCAGUAGCUGGUCUGAGAGGAUGACCAGCCACACUGGGACUGAGACACGGCCCAGACUCCUACGGGAGGCAGCAGUGGGGAAUCUUGCGCAAUGGGCGAAAGCCUGACGCAGCCAUGCCGCGUGAAUGAUGAAGGUCUUAGGAUUGUAAAAUUCUUUCAACGGGGACGAUAAUGACGGUACCCGGAGAAGAAGCCCCGGCUAACUUCGUG